rnacentral:rRNA from 1 species
GACGAACGCUGGCGGCGUGCUUAACACAUGCAAGUCGAACGGAAAGGCCCUGCUUUUGUGGGGUGCUCGAGUGGCGAACGGGUGAGUAACACGUGAGUAACCUGCCCUUGACUUUGGGAUAACUUCAGGAAACUGGGGCUAAUACCGGAUAGGAGCUCCUGCUGCAUGGUGGGGGUUGGAAAGUUUCGGCGGUUGGGGAUGGACCCGCGGCUUAUCAGCUUGUUGGUGGGGUAGUGGCUUACCAAGGCUUUGACGGGUAGCCGGACUGAGAGGGUGACCGGCCCCAUUGGGACUGAGAUACGGCCCAGACUCCUACGGGAGGCAGCAGUGGGGAAUAUUGCACAAUGGGCGGAAGCCUGAUGCAGCAACGCCGCGUGCGGGAUGACGGCCUUCGGGUUGUAAACCGCUUUCGCCUGUGACGAAGCGUGAGUGACGGUAAUGGGUAAAGAAGCACCGGCUAACUACGUG